AUGGCAUGUUUUAAGCUGCCCCGAGGUCUUUGCGAUCACAUUAAUUCCUUGCUAAGGAAAUUUUGGUGGGGCAGCAAGGACGGCGAGCGCAAAACUGCAUGGGUCUCUUGGGAGACGAUGACCAGGCCGAAACGGGAUGGUGGACUAGGCUUCCGCGACAUCGAGAUUUUGAAUCUCGCACUGUUGGCACGACAAGCUUGGCGAAUGCUCAUCAACCCAGAAUCACUAAGUACUCAGGUGCUUAAGGCAGUAUACUACCCGAAAGGAACGAUUUUGUCCGCUGCUCUGGGGACGCGCCCUUCGACGGUUUGGAGGUCUAUAUGUGAGGGUAGGGAUGUUCUUAAUCUGGGUAUCAUUCGGUGCAUCGGAGAUGGAAAGAAUACAAAGUUUUUUGAUAACUGGCUUCCCAAAGACCAUAAACUCAAACCCAUAUGUGUAAAGUCAGCUAUGCCACCGGUGUAUGUGAGCGAAUUAAUUAAUCAAACAACCCGUGCAUGA
rnacentral:rRNA from 1 species